rnacentral:rRNA from 1 species
UACGUAGGGUGCAAGCGUUAAUCGGAAUUACUGGGCGUAAAGCGUGCGCAGGCGGUUUUGUAAGUCAGAUGUGAAAUGCCCGGGCUUAACCUGGGAACUGCAUUUGUGACUGCAUGGCUAGAGUGUGUCAGAGGGGGGUAGAAUUCCACGUGUAGCAGUGAAAUGCGUAGAUAUGUGGAGGAAUACCGAUGGCGAAGGCAGCCCCCUGGGAUAACACUGACGCUCAUGCACGAAAGCGUGGGGAGCAAACAGG